ensembl:lncRNA
CGCCUACUACAGCAGGCAACACAGAACAUAUAUACUGCACAUAAGUUUUAACUGAAGGUUGCAGAGAAAUGCCAUUCCCUGUACUCAGAUCAGCCACUCCAUUGAACUGCCCCUAUGUGGUGUGCUCCAUGAUGUGACUGCAGAGUUCAGCUGGCUUGAAGCAUCAGUGUGAAAGUAGUGCAACUGCCCAGGCUUUACAGCAGUGUUCAGGACUGACACUGGCUAGUAGCUUAUUUCCUGCUACAAGAAUCCGCCCUGUUUGCCUCGCAUACGUUUAAGCACCUGAUUUUUCAUUAAGUCCUCCAUCUUCUGCAUCACAAGGAAUCUGGGAAGCCACAGACAACCCAUCCUGCAGCUCACCUCUCUGUCCAGACAUCCAAACACUCUGGGUCACUAUGCUAGGCAAAAGGCCCAGCAGCACAGUGCCAUUGCCUCACAUUACCGCUGUACCCUAACAGCAUGGAUUCACACCCUACUUCUCUGCAAGGAUCUUCCUCUGCUGGGUUCAUAGAUGUCAUUUUGGGAAGUCCCAAACUAUGGCUGCUUUUGUAGCACUGAAAACUAUGCCAUCUUCAUCCAAACUUUUCUAACCUUGUAUUUCAUUAUCCAGUAAUUCACGUCAAUAUACAUGACCCAAGCCGGUAACAAACCCCUGAUGGUGUCUUACAAUGCAAUGGAGAAACUCUCAGCUUAACCCUGAGACUGAUCAACCGCUGGGGCUGCCAGAGCAUCUCCUGACAGGAGCAGUCUCUUUCAUGGUUUUAAUACAGCU